UUCUUAUCAAGAGCAGGUGGAGGGACUGGCCCGAUGAAGCCCGGCAACCGACUUAAACGAUGUUUAAGCACGGUGCUAAAUCUUGCAGCAAUUGCUGGCAGAUAAGGA
rnacentral:ncRNA from 2 species